rnacentral:rRNA from 1 species
CCUACGGGUGGCAGCAGUGAGGAAUAUUGGUCAAUGGACGAGAGUCUGAACCAGCCAAGUAGCGUGAAGGAUGACUGCCCUAUGGGUUGUAAACUUCUUUUAUAUGGGAAUAAAAUGUUCCACGUGUGGGAUUUUGUAUGUACCAUAUGAAUAAGGAUCGGCUAACUCCGUGCCAGCAGCCGCGGUAAUACGGAGGAUCCGAGCGUUAUCCGGAUUUAUUGGGGUAAAAGGGAGCGUAGGUGGAUUGUUAAGUCAGUGGUCAAAUACGGGGGCUCAACCUGCGUCCGCCGUUGAAACUGGCGUUCUUGAGUGGGCGAGAAGUACGCGGAAUGCGUGGUGUAGCGGUGAAAUGCAUAGAUAUCACGCAGAACCCCGAUUGCGAAGGCAGCGUACCGGCGACCGACUGACGCUGAAGCACGAAAGCGUGGGUAGCGAACAGGAUUAGAUACCCCUGUAGUC